UUUUUUAUAAGAUAAAUUAAAAUCUGUGGGGUUGUGAUCCUCAAAAUCUUUUUAUAAAAGUAAA
rnacentral:tRNA from 1 species